rnacentral:rRNA from 1 species
AGCUCCAAUAGCAUAUAUUAAAGUUGUUGCAGUUAAAAAGCUCGUAGUUGGAUUUCUGGGAGAGCGGCAAUGUCCGCUCGAUGCGUGUGCAGCGCUGCUCUUCCAUCCUUCUGUUAACGCUUCUCGGUCUUAACUGACUGGUUGCGGGCUCAGAUAUUUUACCUUGAGAAAAUUAGAGUGUUUCAGGCAGGCUUGCGCCCGAAUACAUUAGCAUGGAAUAAUAGAAUAGGACUUUUGUCUCCUUUGUUGGUUUGAGGGACUGAAGUAAUGAUUAAUAGGGACAGUUGGGGGCAUUAGUAUUUAAUUGUCAGAGGUGAAAUUCUCGGAUUUGUUAAAGACUAACUAAUGCGAAAGCAUUUGCCAAGGAUGUUUUCA